CUGCUGCCUUCCGUAGGAGUUUGGGCCGUGUCUCAGUCCCAAUGUGGCCGUCCACCCUCUCAGGCCGGCUAUUGAUCGUCGCCUUGGUGGGCCUUUACCCCGCCAACCAGCUAAUCAGACGCGGGUCCAUCCCAUACCACCUUGGUUUUCAAACAAAAGCAUGCGCUUUCUGUUGUUAUGCGGUAUUAGCACCUAUUUCUAAGUGUUAUCCCCCUGUAUGGGCCAGGUUACCCACGCGUUACUCACCCGUCCGCCACUAAGCCUUUCCCUUUUCCCG
rnacentral:rRNA from 1 species